AUACGUAGGUGGCAAGCGUUGUCCGGAAUUAUUGGGCGUAAAGCGCGCGCAGGCGGUCCUUUAAGUCUGAUGUGAAAGCCCACGGCUCAACCGUGGAGGGUCAUUGGAAACUGGGGGACUUGAGUACAGAAGAGGAGAGUGGAAUUCCACGUGUAGCGGUGAAAUGCGUAGAGAUGUGGAGGAACACCAGUGGCGAAGGCGGCUCUCUGGUCUGUAACUGACGCUGAGGCGCGAAAGCGUGGGUAGCGAACAGGAUUAGAUACCCUGGUAGUCCACGCCGUAAACGAUGAGUGCUAAGUGUUAGAGGGUUUCCGCCCUUUAGUGCUGCAGCAAACGCAUUAAGCACUCCGCCUGGGGAGUACGGCCGCAAGGCUGAA
rnacentral:rRNA from 1 species